rnacentral:rRNA from 1 species
GAUGAACGCUGGCGGCGUGCCUAAUACAUGCAAGUCGAGCGAACAGACGAGGAGCUUGCUCCUCUGACGUUAGCGGCGGACGGGUGAGUAACACGUGGCUAACCUACCUAUAAGACUGGGAUAACUUCGGGAAACCGGAGCUAAUACAGGAUAAUAUAUUGAACCGCAUGGUUCAAUAGUGAAAGACGGUUUUGCUGUCACUUAUAGAUGGAUCCUCGCCGCAUUAGCUAGUUGGUAAGGUAACGGCUUACCAAGGCAACGAUGCGUAGCCGACCUGAGAGGAUGAUCGGCCACACUGGAACUGAGACACGGUCCAGACUCCUACGGGAGGCAGCAGUAGGGAAUCUUCCGCAAUGGGCGAAAGCUUGACGGAGCAACGCCGCGUGAGUGAUGAAGGUCUUCGGAUCGUAAAACUCUGUUAGUAGGGAAGAACAAAUGUGUAAGUAACUAUGCACGUCUUGACGGUACCUAAACAGAAAGCCACGGCUAACUACGUG